UACGGGGGGGGGCAAGCGUUUGUUCGGGAAUUACUGGGCGUAAAGGGCUCGUAGGCGGCCAACUAAGUCGGACGUGAAAUCCCUCGGCUUAACCGGGGAACUGCGUCCGAUACUGGAUGGCUUGAGUAUGGGAGAGGGAUGCGGAAUUCCAGGUGUAGCGGUGAAAUGCGUAGAUAUCUGGAGGAACACCGGUGGCGAAGGCGGCAAUCCUGGACCUUACUGACGCUGAGGAGCGAAAGCCAGGGAGCAAAGCGGG
rnacentral:rRNA from 1 species